CUGCUGGGGUGACUGCGCUGCACUGUACGGCUGAGAGGAGAAUCCUGCUAAGGUAGGUAUCAUAGAAAUAUUAUGUGGAUUUUUAAACAGAUUAUUUUUUAAAAGACAAAGCUUUCCAAAUUGAUCCAUGUAAAGUUGACUCACCUUUUUUAUAACGUGCUCAAAUUGUGCUGUGAUUUGAGGGCUUUUUUGAAAUAAGUGUCAGUGAUUUGCAUUCUAGGCUUCCUGUUUGCCAAUUACUAAAUCCUCAGAGAAGAUGAAAUUCUAGUUGUAUGCAUUAUGUUUAUUAAUAAGAGUGAAUGAAAUUAAUACUUAUAAACAAAUCCAUUUUGUAACCUGGCACAGCCAGGAGUGUGGAGGCUUCUUGUUGCACACUAAAUUGCAACAACCUUCCAUAAAUUGUUUAAUUGUGGAUAUUCAGUGACAAUUUACAUCUCCUUUCCCCAUAUGUGCAUGGCCAGUUUAAUCAGGUUGACACAACAGAAUUGAGAUUGAACUAAAUAAUUGUUUUUAAUUAUGAUACUGUCCUCAAUUAAGUGCGUUUUAAAAUGAAAAUUGAUUUGUGGAAAUUUAACCUAAGAGUCCGAGAGACCGGCAGUAAGAAUUAUAUUCAGAGUUGUGUGCUUUGCCCUGUAAGUGACUAACAGUUUGUUAUAUUAGAAGUAUAAAAUAG